rnacentral:sRNA from 1 species
GAAAAAUACUUGCAGAAUUUGGGUUUCAGUGCUGCAUGCUGCAUUAUUCGUUGUACACUUUUCUUCUGAGUAAAAAUUGCACCCAUCACCUUAUUAUUCACCCCAUCACUACGGCGACAGACUACGUAGGAAUCAUGGCUUCCACCAAAAGUGUUUGUAUACAGUACUGGUAGUAGCGCCGCAGCACAGUGACUGAAUGAUGCUUUAUUUCCCCGAAAAGCACCAGUAGUUGUUGACCACCGGUUGUGCUUCAGACCUCAGAUUUCUACAUUCGCCCUUGUUCCUUGAAGAAUGACAUACAUCAUUCUUCAUAACUUACAGCAGCUUGCAGAACAGGAAAUGAAGGUCAUAAAAAAAAAAAAAAACAUUAUAAAACGGCAACUGCCUCACAGGAGGUAAAGCAAGAAGUUUGCUUAUGCUUCUGCAGUGACAUAGUGAUCUACCACUAAACCUACUACUGAAUUCUCAACCUCAAUUUUCCACACUUCAGCGUCAGGCUUGAAUGAGAGGUGAGGGCCUAAAAUCUCAUCAAUGAAGCCUAUUAGAGCACAACAGCAACAACUGAAAUACAGGUGACGUGAUGAUUGGCUGCGUGCCAUUUAGGCCGGUGAUGCCGAUGGCAUGUCAUAGCCGACAAGCAAUAAGCAGCUGCGGACAGCGCAGCUUGUUGCAUACGAAGCACGAUCGGCUUCAUCACCGAAAUCACCAAGACAGCUAGUAGAUGCCGCAUGAGAGUGAGCAGUUACAGUUAACAUGGUCGCGGUGAGCUUUGAAUUCACUUAAAUGUACUCAAAUUGGCUGGGAGCCAUGCAUCAUUUCAGAUUGAGCGCAGGCAGAACUUAUCAGAUAGUAUCGACUUAGGCUCGACACAGACCCCUACUCGGACCUCGUCCCCGUCUCCCUAUCGAAUUUCUUCUCCUUUAGGUCGCCAUCUGCAAACUUCUUACUACAGUCUGUUAGCAAGUGUUCCCGGAAGGCACAGGAUAAUAACGUGAAGGAUUAUGUCAUCUUUCGCGCAAGAGUCGUCGCCUGAAUGGCCUAGUCGAAUUGGAUGAAUCGUGAUAUUUAGCGAAGUGAUAUGUGGGAAGAGGCAGAAAGGUAGGUGAUGAAAAAGGAGAGGAGAGGUUUGAGCUAUGAAGGCUUGAUCUUGGUGGCUUUGGAAUUUGAGAGAGUGAAAUCCCUCGUAAACCGUCAGGAACAGGAGCUACUGUAGAUUGUCGAUUUUACUUGCUGGCUGUCAAUGGACUACGCGCAGCCGUAAAACUAGAAAUUCAGUCCUAUUGAUUUGUACCAUCCUCUCAUCACCGUUUGAAUAAGAAAAUGAAGACGGGCGCCGAGUAGAGUACACAUAUCGCGCAUACUGUGUGUCUGUGAUGCGAGGUAUGAAGUUACUCCAUGCCUCAUGGUUAGCAAACUUGCAAACGUAGACAGUUUACCGCGUGGGAUCUUGCAUUUAGACCAUUUCCU